rnacentral:rRNA from 1 species
AUCAGUAAGCGGAGGAAAAGAAACUAACAAGGAUUGCCUCAGUAGCGGCGAGCGAACUGGCAAAAGCUCAAAAUGUAAAUCUGUGGCGGUGACGUCAUAGAAUUGUAAUCUAUAGAAUCAGGCAGAAAGCAUGACAAUCGCAGAAGUCUCUGGAAAGAGAAAGCAAAGAGGGUGAUACUCCCGUAUUCGGCGAAUUGUCAGCUGUAUGCAUGGUUUCGAAGAGUCGGGUUGCUUGGUACUGCAGCUCUAAAUGGGAGAUAAACUUCUUCUAAAGCUAAAUAUUUAUGGGAAACCGAUAGCGAACAAGUACUGCGAAGGAAAGAUGAAAAGAACUUUGAAAAGAGGGUUAAAAGACUUGAAAUCGUUGAAAAGGAAGCGGUAGAAGAAAAGCAUUGCUGUGAGGUUUGUUAUGUGACAAUCGGCCUCGGGUUCGUUUAGUACUUAAUCGGCUAGCGGGCUCUUCGGUAACGGUUGCCUGUGACUUUCUCAUAGUAAAAGGCAAAAUGAGGUUUAUCUGCGAGAAUAACUAGCGAUGAAGACCCUUUUCGGAGGAGCUUCGUUAGAAAGUCGCAGAUUUACCUGAGGGUGCAUUGCGAUUUUGUCGAAAAUGCUUCUACUGACCCGUCUU